AGAGUUUGAUCAUGGCUCAGGAUGAACGCUAGCUACAGGCUUAACACAUGCAAGUCGAGGGGUAACAGGGUAGCAAUACCGCUGACGACCGGCGCACGGGUGAGUAACACGUAUCCAACCUUCUGUUUACUCGGGGAUAGCCUUUCGAAAGAAAGAUUAAUACCCGAUAGUACCGUUUUAAGACAUCUUUUUACGGUUAAAGAAUUUCGGUAAUCGAUGGGGAUGCGUUUCAUUAGAUUGUUGGUAGGGUAACGGCCUACCAAGUCUUCGAUGAAUAGGGGUUCUGAGAGGAAGGUCCCCCACACUGGAACUGAGACACGGUCCAG
rnacentral:rRNA from 1 species